GUCCCCGUAGCUCAGCUGGAUAGAGCAACGGACUUCUAAUCCGUAGGCCGGGGGUUCGAAUCCCUCCGGGGACGCCA
rnacentral:tRNA from 1 species